rnacentral:lncRNA from 1 species
AAAAUCUUCCGUCGCCUCUCCACACUCUCUCUCUACAAACCCUCUCUUCUUUACCUUCUCUAUAAAACAAAACCAUUGUUGACCUCCAUCGCCGCUCCGCCUCGCCUCCCUCCAUCGCUGCUCCGCAUCUCUCCGUUCAUCCCCCAACAGCAGCUGCCCAGCGCCCCUACCGGCUCUCCUUCUCAAACAGCCACCGCCGCCGUUCUCUCUUUCACCGGUGAGCUCCUCUCUCGCCACCAAUUGUUGCUGCAGCCAGCUCUACAAUCAAGCCUAUUCCAGCCCAAUGCCAUUCUGACAAGCACCAUUUUCUAAUCCUUUGUUUCUUCAUUUUUAACAUAUUUUUUUAUCUGAAAUUGACAAAAUUUGACUGAAGUUCUUGUUUGAUUUCUUCUUAUUUGGAUUUUUUUACAUCUUUAGAUUGUUAUGUAUGAAAACCCCAAAAUUUAUGAGCUAUGAUCAACCCUAGACGCAGAAGGAGCUGAAUAAGUAACUGAAAGUGAAAAAAAUUAGUCUUUCUAGGCUUAUUAAAACUAAAGUAAAGGAGAAUAAUAUGAAGAAUAGGCUCACAUAUAUUACACUAGGUUGAGGGAUCUUAUACAAUUAUAGUGUUGCUCUAAAUGGUAGAAUUUGACUGACUUGGGAUCAAAAUUGGUAUGAAGUACAUAUUCUUGGCACCUCUCCUCCACUACUACAUUGUAUGAUUAUAGAUAGAUGCAAAGACCACCUGGUUGUACUCACUGUCAUGUAUGGUUUUAAUACAUAGAUCAGAGGAAGUAUUUAGCAGGAUCUUCAGUUACACCAGUAGAAAUUAGAGACUUUACUGAGUGUGUGUAGAAUAUCGGAGUUACUAAACUGCCCUGGAAGGGAUAAUACUACACCUGAACUAAUUAGAAACAUUGAAUGGACAGAAUUUCUAGUAAGAUUGACAUAGCAUUUGGCAACUUUUCAUUUCUUAGUAAUUUUCAAUGACUUUGACUAUUCAAGAUUAUCAUAAGAAUGUAAAAGUGUCAUUUAAAUUCUUCAAUGUGUGAUCUUACAUCUUUCUUGACCAUGGUGGAUACUAUAUCAGUAGUUUGUUCCUUGUCAAAAAUUGUCUCAGGAGUUUUUCAUAUUUUAGAGUCUAGUUUGUCAAGCUAUCAUAUUUUAUAGUCAAGUUUGUCAAGGUGUUAUUUUUUCCUCGAAGUCCUAUCUGUUGGAAGAUUUUGUCAUUAUUUUUCUUUCUCUAUUUUCCUUCUCAUGGGUAUGUAGAUUUGCUACAGGCGGUACACAAGGUUUUAUGGAAUCUCAGAAAGGACUGUUGUAGAUUUGGUUCAUCAUUCAUUGACAAGUGAGCGUCUCCUGUUCUGCUUAGGCUCAUGUUUGAUUUCUUAGUUGUGCUUACUAAUUGUUUGGACUAUUCUUUUACAUUGAUCAAAUUAUAAGCUGUGGAAAGAAGAAAUUGAGAAAUGGCAAAAUCCUAUCCUUAAUGAUGAUAAGCUGCCGAAAUGGUUAGUUUGAUAGAGAUUUUGUAAUUGUUUUGGAAUAGCAUUAUACUUUUUUUGUGUGUGUUAGCUAUCAUUACGAGCAUAAGCAUUUUUGAGAAUGGAAGGUUAGAAUAAAAUUAACACGUAAUACUUUGCAAUAAAAUCCGUACAGCUUACCAACCCUGCAUACAUCUAUUUAAUAGGGCUCAAUGGAAGGAAAAAAAUAGGUGACACCAAUUAGUUGGAAAUUUUUUUUAGUCAUGAUAGUAUAUUUUCUUCAAAUCCCAAGCUUGCUAGGACUUCUUUAGCCUUUAGAAAAUAUAUGGGACUUCAUCUAGUACUUACUACUUUUAUUGUAAUAUUAGUUCAAGAUGACUUUAAAUAGAGAAACAUGAUUAGUGAGGAUUCAUAUAGCCAAGACCAACUUGUUUGGAAUUGAGACGUAGUUGUAGUUGUAUUACUUUUUUACUAGUCUUUUCUUUCUUUCUUCUAGCUAUAGUCAACUUGUGUAAUUUUUGCUGCUAUUUACAUAGUUCACUUUUCACUGUUUUGCUUUGGACAUUUUUAAGAGUUGUCUGAAUAUUGCUACUUUAUACCCUCUGUUCACAUAACAGUUGAAAUAUGUAUGGUACGAAUGCUGAUAUUACGACACUGAAUUUUAUAGGUACAAGUUUAUGCUAUUUAACGAGGUGUAUUUUCUGUUGGGUGGUGGGAUAGUAUGGAUUGGUAUUCAUCUUCUUUUCUUUUUUUCAAUUCUACACUUACUAUUGUCUUAAAUUCUUAGAAGAUUGCUGAGUUAUAAGUUCUAUAUUGAAUCUAUCAAUUUGCCACUUGAAAUACCUAUUGGAUCUAAAUGGACUAUUGAGUGUGAUUCCUAGACAACACAGUUGAGUAGAGGGAAAUGUGUACUAGUCACUUGAGAAGUGGAUUAGUGACUUUAAAAUGGUUUAGUGUAGUUCUUGAAAGGUGAACUUAUGUUUUGAAAUUAGUAAAGUGUAAUCACUUGAAAUUGGUUUAGUGUUGACACAUGAAAUGAGAAUUCAUGACUUGAAAAUGGUUGGGCUUAGUCACUUGAAAUGCGAAUUAGAGAGUUGAAAAUGGUUAAGUGUAGUGUUUUGAAAUGUGUACUAGUCACUUGAGAAGUGAAUUAGCGACUUCAAAUUUAGUGUAGUUCUUGAAAGGUGAACUUGUUUUGAAAUUAGUAAAGUGUUAUCAUUUGAAAAAUGUGAAUUCAUGACUUGAAAUUGGUUUAGUGUUGAUAGUUGAAAUGUGAAUUCAUGACUUGAAAAUGAUUAAGUUUAGUCACUUGAAAUGUGAAUUAGAGAGUUGAAAAUGGUUGAGUGUAGUGUUUUGAAAUGUGUACUAAUCACUUGAGAAGUGGAUUAGCGACUUAAAAACGGAUUAGUGUAGUUCUUGAAAGGUGAAAUUGUGUUUUGAAAUUAGUAAAGUGUAAUCACUUGAAAAUGUGACUUGAAAAUGGUUGGGCUUAGUCACAUGAAAUGUGAAUUAGAGUUGAAAAUGAUUAAGUGUAGUGUUUUGAAAUGUGUACUAGUCACUUGAGAGGUGAAUUAGCGACUUGAAAAUAUUUUAGUGUAGGUACUUGAAAGGCACUUGAGAAGUGGAUUAGCGACUUAAAAAUGGAUUAGUGUAGUUCUUGAAAGGUGAAAUUGUGUUUUGAAAUUAGUAAAGUGUAAUCACUUGAAAAUGUGACUUGAAAAUGGUUAGGCUUAGUCACAUGAAAUGUGAAUUAGAGAGUUGAAAAUGAUUAAGUGUAGUGUUUUGAAAUGUGUACUAGUCACUUGAGAGGUGAAUUAGUGACUUGAAAAUAUUUUAGUGUAGGUACUUGAAAGGUGAACUUGUGUUUUGAAAUUAGUUAAGUGUAAUCACUUGAAAAUGUGAAUUCAUGACAUGAAAUUGGUUUAGUGUUUAUACUUGAAAUGUGAAUUCAUGACUUGAAAAUGAUUAAGUUUAGUCACUUGAAAUAUGAAUUAGAGAGUUGAAAAUGGUUAAGUGUAGUGUUUUCAAAUAUGUACUAGUCACUUGAGAAGUGGAUUAGCAACUUAAUAAUGGUUUAGUGUAGUUUUUGAAAGGUGAACUUGUGUUUUAAAAUUAGUAAAGUAUAAUCAUUUAAAAAUGUUAAUUCAUAACAUGAAAUUGGUUUAGUGUUGACAGUUGAAAUGUGACUUCAUGACUUGAAAAUGGUUAGGUUUAUUCACUUGAAAUGUGAAUUAGAGAGUUGAAAAUGGUCAAGUGUAGUAUUUUGGAAUCUGUACUAGUGACGUCAAAGUGAUCAAGUGUAGUCACUUGAGAAGUGAAUUAGCGACUUGAAAAUGGUUUAGUGUAGUUACUUGAAAGGUGAACUUGUAUUUUGAAAUUAGUAUAGUGUAAUCACUUGAAAGUGUAAAUUCAUGACUUGAAAUUGAUUUAGUGUUGUCACUUGAAAUGUGAAUUCAUGACUAAAAAAUGGUUAAGUGUAGUGUUUUGAAUUGUUUCCUAGUGACUUCAAAAUGAUCAAGUCACCUCUACCUUCACCUCCUCCUAUAGAAGAAGAUAUUGAUACAGAUUUGAUUGGUCUAGUUCCUGGAGAUAUGGACAUGCUUGGUAGAGUGUUCAUCGAUCCUGAUGGAUCUUCAUAAGUUUAUUUUUCAUUAAAUAGGUUUAUUAUUUUCAUUAAUAAAAUAUUUAAGUUUACAUACUUAUUAUGUUAUUUACAGGUGGUAUCCCACGUCAAAAGAAGUUAAUGAGGCUGUAAGGGAAAGCGUUAUGAAACUUUUUACAUUUCCUUGGCACGAGUGGUGGGACAUUCCAAUAGUCUCUAAACAAGCCAUGUUUCAAGAGUUUAAGGUAUAUUAGAUUUAAUUAUUAUUUACCACUUCUACAAUUUUUGAGAGACAUGCUGCUAUGUCACAUCAGAUUACACAUCUUAGACAUGCCUUGACAUAGGUCGUUGCUCCUAAUUCAAGUAGCGAAGAGAAAACACAGAGUGAUGAGGAGUUUGUUGGGGCUACUCCUUAGUGUUGUUGGACUUGACUUUUAGAUAAUUUUUAGAUAUUGUUGAACUUAGCUUUCUAUUAGUGAAAAAUCUUCAGGAGUGUAAGUAUUUUGAAUGUUGUUGAAUUCAUUGUUUAAGUGUUGUUAUUUUAAAUUGUUUUAAUGAUUUGUUGAUGUAGUGUGUUGUAUGAUUAUUGUAAUAAUGUGUUGCAUGAGGAUGUAUAUGUUGAAUUGCAUUUUUAUUUGACAGGUGGGAUGCAGAAAAUGCAGAUUUCUACAUCAAAAAAAUACAGAAAAGCGAUGAUG